rnacentral:rRNA from 1 species
UACGGAGGGAGCUAGCGUUGUUCGGAAAUACUGGGCGUAAAGCGCACGUAGGCGGCGCCGCAAGUCAGGGGUGAAAUCCCGGGGCUCAACCCCGGAACUGCCCUUGAAACUGCAGUGCUAGAAUCCUGGAGAGGCGAGUGGAAUUCCGAGUGUAGAGGUGAAAUUCGUAGAUAUUCGGAAGAACACCAGUGGCGAAGGCGACUCGCUGGACAGGUAUUGACGCUGAGGUGCGAAAGCGUGGGGAGCAAACAGG